UACGUAGGGUGCGAGCGUUAAUCGGAAUUACUGGGCGUAAAGCGUGCGCAGGCGGUUUGCUAAGACCGAUGUGAAAUCCCCGGGCUUAACCUGGGAACUGCAUUGGUGACUGGCAGGCUAGAGUAUGGCAGAGGGGGGUAGAAUUCCACGUGUAGCAGUGAAAUGCGUAGAGAUCGGAAAGAACACCAACGGCGAAAGCACUCUGCUGGGCCGACACUGACACUGAGAGACGAAAGCUAGGGGAGCGAAUGGG
rnacentral:rRNA from 1 species